rnacentral:rRNA from 1 species
GACGAACGCUGGCGGCGUGCCUAAUACAUGCAAGUCGAGCGGACUUUUUAAAAGCUUGCUUUUAAAAAGUUAGCGGCGGACGGGUGAGUAACACGUGGGCAACCUGCCCUGUAGACUGGGAUAACCUCGGGAAACCGAAGCUAAUACCGGAUAAUUAAUAGAAGCACCUACUUCUAUUGUAAAAGUUGGGAUACUAACACUACAGGAUGGGCCCGCGGCGCAUUAGCUAGUUGGUAAGGUAAUGGCUUACCAAGGCGACGAUGCGUAGCCGACCUGAGAGGGUGAUCGGCCACACUGGGACUGAGACACGGCCCAGACUCCUACGGGAGGCAGCAGUAGGGAAUCUUCCGCAAUGGACGAAAGUCUGACGGAGCAACGCCGCGUGAACGAUGAAGGCCUUCGGGUCGUAAAGUUCUGUUGUUAGGGAAGAACAAGUACCGUUCGAAUAGGGCGGUACCUUGACGGUACCUAACCAGAAAGCCACGGCUAACUACGUG